CACAGACAACCAGGAUGUUGGCUUAGAAGCAGCCACUCAUUCAAAGAGUGCGUAAUAGCUCACUGGUCGAGUGAUCCUGCGCCGAAGAUUUCCGGGGCUAAAACUUACUACCGAAGCUACGGCAUCAGUAAUGAUGGGUAGGGGAGCUUCCCAUACGGGUUGAAGCAUGACCGUAAGGACAUGUGGACAGUAUGGGAGUGAGAAUGUUGGCAUGAGUAGCGAGAUGUGGGUGAGAAUCCCACAGGCCGUAAACCCAAGGUUUCCAGGGGAAGGUUCGUCCGCCCUGGGUUAGUCGGGACCUAAGCUGAGGCCGAAAGGCGUAGGUGAUGGACAACAGGUUGAUAUUCCUGUACUACCGAUAACCGUUUGAGAGAAGGGAUGACACAGUAGGAUAAGCUAAGCACACUGUUGGUUAUGUGUGCCCAAGCAUUGAGGCAGUCAAAGUAGGCAAAUCCGCUUUGAUAAUGCUGGGAUGUGAUGGGGAGCGAAAUUUAGUAGCGAA
rnacentral:rRNA from 1 species